CCUAGGGGCGGCUGCAGUGGGGAAUAUUGGACAAUGGGGGGAACCCUGAUCCAGCCAUGCCGCGUGUGUGAAGAAGGCCCUCGGGUUGUAAAGCACUUUCAGUGAGGAAGAACGCCUGGUGGUUAAUACCCAUCAGGAAAGACAUCACUCACAGAAGAAGCACCGGCUAACUCCGUGCCAGCAGCCGCGGUAAUACGGAGGGUGCGAGCGUUAAUCGGAAUUACUGGGCGUAAAGCGCGCGUAGGUGGCUUGAUAAGCCGGUUGUGAAAGCCCCGGGCUCAACCUGGGAACGGCAUCCGGAACUGUCAAGCUAGAGUGCAGGAGAGGAAGGUAGAAUUCCCGGUGUAGCGGUGAAAUGCGUAGAGAUCGGGAGGAAUACCAGUGGCGAAGGCGGCCUUCUGGACUGACACUGACACUGAGGUGCGAAAGCGUGGGUAGCAAACAGGAUUAGAUACCCCUGUAGUC
rnacentral:rRNA from 1 species